CGCGGGGUGGAGCAGUGGUAGCUCGUCGGGCUCAUAAUCCGAAGGUCGCAGGUUCAAAUCCUGUCCCCGCAA
rnacentral:tRNA from 1 species